rnacentral:rRNA from 1 species
UCCUAACCAUUGCUCUGCACCUCCCGAGUGCUUGCACUCAAUUGGAAAGAGGAGUGGCGGACGGGUGAGUAACACGUGGGUAACCUACCCAUCAGAGGGGGAUAACACUUGGAAACAGGUGCUAAUACCGCAUAACAGUUUAUGCCGCAUGGCAUAAGAGUGAAAGGCGCUUUCGGGUGUCGCUGAUGGAUGGACCCGCGGUGCAUUAGCUAGUUGGUGAGGUAACGGCUCACCAAGGCCACGAUGCAUAGCCGACCUGAGAGGGUGAUCGGCCACACUGGGACUGAGACACGGCCCAGACUCCUACGGGAGGCAGCAGUAGGG